rnacentral:rRNA from 1 species
AGUGAACGCUGGCGGUAGGCCUAACACAUGCAAGUCGAACGGCAGCACAGUAAGAGCUUGCUCUUACGGGUGGCGAGUGGCGGACGGGUGAGGAAUACAUCGGAAUCUACUUUUUCGUGGGGGAUAACGUAGGGAAACUUACGCUAAUACCGCAUACGACCUACGGGUGAAAGCAGGGGAUCUUCGGACCUUGCGCGAUUGAAUGAGCCGAUGUCGGAUUAGCUAGUUGGCGGGGUAAAGGCCCACCAAGGCGACGAUCCGUAGCUGGUCUGAGAGGAUGAUCAGCCAAACUGGAACUGAGACACGGUCCAGACUGCUACGGGAGGCAGCAGUGGGGAAUAUUGGACAAUGGGCGCAAGCCUGAUCCAGCCAUACCGCGUGGGUGAAGAAGGCCUUCGGGUUGUAAAGCCCUUUUGUUGGGAAAGAAAAGCAGCAGGUUAAUACCCCGCUGUUCUGACGGUACCCAAAGAAUAAGCACCGGCUAACUUCGUG